ACGGCGAGUGAAGCGGCAAAAGCUCAAAUUUGAAAUCUGGUACCUUCGGUGCCCGAGUUGUAAUUUGGAGAGGGCAACUUUGGGGCCGUUCCUUGUCUAUGUUCCUUGGAACAGGACGUCAUAGAGGGUGAGAAUCCCGUGUGGCGAGGAGUGCGGUUCUUUGUAAAGUGCCUUCGAAGAGUCGAGUUGUUUGGGAAUGCAGCUCUAAGUGGGUGGUAAAUUCCAUCUAAAGCUAAAUAUUGGCGAGAGACCGAUAGCGAACAAGUACAGUGAUGGAAAGAUGAAAAGAACUUUGAAAAGAGAGUGAAAAAGUACGUGAAAUUGUUGAAAGGGAAGGGCAUUUGAUCAGACAUGGUGUUUUGUGCCCUCUGCUCCUUGUGGGUAGGGGAAUCUCGCAUUUCACUGGGCCAGCAUCAGUUUUGGUGGCAGGAUAAAUCCAUAGGAAUGUAGCUUGCCUCGGUAAGUAUUAUAGCCUGUGGGAAUACUGCCAGCUGGGACUGAGGACUGCGACGUAAGUCAAGGAUGCUGGCAUAAUGGUUAUAUGCCGCC
rnacentral:rRNA from 1 species